rnacentral:tRNA from 1 species
GGAGGGCUGCGCCGAAUUGGCAAGGCAGCGGUCUUGAAAACCGCCGUCCGAAAGGACUUGGGGGUUCGAGUCCCUCGCCCUCCG